rnacentral:rRNA from 1 species
UACGGAGGGUGCAAGCGUUGCUCGGAAUCAUUGGGCGUAAAGCGUACGCAGGCUGUUCGUUAAGUCGGGUGUGAAAGCCCAGGGCUCAACCCUGGAAUGGCGCCCGAAACUGGCGAGCUUGAGUGCGGGAGAGGGAAGCGGAAUUCCUGGUGUAGAGGUGAAAUUCGUAGAUAUUCGGAAGAACACCAGUGGCGAAGGCGACUUACUGGACACAUAUUGACGCUGAGGUGCGAAAGCGUGGGGAGCAAACAGG